CCACAUCAUAUCCUUAUCCCAGACAUCCAGAGGAAAAUCUGGUAGAUGAAGCCACACAUUUAUCUUUUGGAUCUUAUCCUUUGAUGGCUUAAAAUUUGGACUCCAAGUUUCUAGGGCCAGCAGCUGUCCAGCCAAUGUCCAAGAUUUCUUUUCUAAAAUUCUAGCCUGAACUUUUUCAGAUGGUAAGAAAAAAGUAAAAAAAACCCUC
rnacentral:lncRNA from 1 species